GAAUUCGAUUCAGGCCUAACACCUGCAAGUCCAGGCCUAACACAUGCAAGUCGAACGGCAGCACGGGUGCUUGCACCUGGUGGCGAGUGGCGAACGGGUGAGUAAUAUAUCGGAACGUACCUUAUUGUGGGGGAUAACGCAGCGAAAGCUGUGCUAAUACCGCAUAAUCCCUAAGGGGGAAAGCGGGGGACCGUAAGGCCUCGCGCAAUUAGAGCGGCCGAUACCUGAUUAGCUAGUUGGUGAGGUAAAGGCUCACCAAGGCAACGAUCAGUAGCUGGUCUGAGAGGACGAUCAGCCACACUGGGACUGAGACACGGCCCAGACUCCUACGGGAGGCAGCAGUGGGGAAUUUUGGACAAUGGGGGCAACCCUGAUCCAGCAAGGCCGCGUGAGUGAAGAAGGCCUUCGGGUUGUAAAGCUAUUGGUCAGGGAAGAAACAGCAGCUCUAACACAGUUGCGA
rnacentral:rRNA from 1 species